AUUGAACGCUGGCGGAAUGCUUUACACAUGCAAGUCGAACGGCAGCACGGGGGCAACCCUGGUGGCGAGUGGCGAACGGGUGAGUAAUACAUCGGAACGUGCCCAGUCGUGGGGGAUAACGUAGCGAAAGCUACGCUAAUACCGCAUACGAACUCUGGUUGAAAGCGGGGGACUCGCAAGGGCCUCGCGCGAUUGGAGCGGCCGAUGGCAGAUUAGGUAGUUGGUGGGGUAAAGGCUCACCAAGCCGACGAUCUGUAGCUGGUCUGAGAGGACGACCAGCCACACUGGGACUGAGACACGGCCCAGACUCCUACGGGAGGCAGCAGUGGGGAAUUUUGGACAAUGGGGGCAACCCUGAUCCAGCCAUGCCGCGUGCGGGAAGAAGGCCU
rnacentral:rRNA from 1 species